GACGAACGCCGGCGGCGUGCCUAAUACAUGCCAGUUGAGCGCUGAAGGUUGGUACUUGUACCGACUGGAUGAGCAGCGAACGGGUGAGUAACGCGUGGGGAAUCUGCCUUUGAGCGGGGGACAACAUUUGGAAACGAAUGCUAAUACCGCAUAAAAACUUUAAACACAAGUUUUAAGUUUGAAAGAUGCAAUUGCAUCACUCAAAGAUGAUCCCGCGUUGUAUUAGCUAGUUGGUGAGGUAAAGGCUCACCAAGGCGAUGAUACAUAGCCGACCUGAGAGGGUGAUCGGCCACAUUGGGCCUGAGACACGGCCCAAACUCCUACGGGAGGCAGCAGUAGGGAAUCUUCGGCAAUGGACGAAAGUCUGACCGAGCAACGCCGCGUGAGUGAAGAAGGUUUUCGGAUCGUAAAACUCUGUUGGUAGAGAAGAACGUUGGUGAGAGUGGAAAGCUCAUCAAGUGACGGUAACUACCCAGAAAGGGACGGCUAACUACGUG
rnacentral:rRNA from 1 species